AUGUCUGACUUCAAAAUAUAAAAACUGGUUCAAACCGGUUUCUAUCUUAUAUUUUACAUUCGGUCAUUAUUUUACAUUCACCAUUGUUGCAUUGCUAACGUGGCUAGAAGAGCUUAGUGAGAUACCCAACAACUUCCAUAAAAUAAAAAUACAAUUGGAAUUGUGUUGCAAUUCCCGAACAAUCAUCAAUAUGCCUAAAAGAAAGAGUGCUACCAAGGGCGAUGAGCCUGCAAGACGUUCCGCGCGUUUGUCAUCUAGACCUGUGCCAAAACCGGCGGCCAAACCCAAAAAGGCGGCAGCACCCAAAAAGGCAGUCAAGGGAAAGAAGGCUGCUGAGAACGGUGAUGCCAAGGCUGAGGCAAAAGUUGAGGCCGCUGGAGACGCCAAAUGAAGAACUGUUUGAAGUUGUGAUCAUUCUGUGUACUUGGUGACUGUACAGUUUAAAAUAAGUAUUUUUUACCAAGUUUUUUUUAUAUUAAAAGAUAUCAUUUAUAGUUCAUUGUGGGCUUACAUUUGAGGUAAUGAAGCUGUUCCAAGGGGUUCUCAUGUUCAUAUCCAUUUUUAUGCAUUGUUUAAAUGAAUACCGUCCAUAUCCUGUCCAAGUAUAAAAAACAAAAAAAAAUACCCUUCUAAACCUGUUUUUAACUGCUGAAUGUUAUUUUCCUACAUAAAUCCAAACAGUAAAGGCAGCUAAAGUGUGUUUCUAAAAUGUUAAGAGGAAUAGGGUUUUUGCCACUCCUUUUAAGUUUUUAAUAUUAAUUACUUACCAAAUGUUUUUAAUCAACAUCAGCUCUUCUCAUUCAGGAGACAUAAGACAGUUUGAAAGUAAUCACUAACUUGUAUUAGGUCAACACACAAAAUCACCACAUAAAAUUAAUAAUGUGAACUUAAUCAUAUGUUCUAUUGUUUAUUUUAUUAAAUUGUUCUGUAAAAACAGUGGAAAGAGCUAUUGUGACUCCUAUGAAAUUUAAAUGUUCUUGAAUAAAAUGAUUAAAAGGCA